rnacentral:lncRNA from 1 species
CACUGACUAGCCACUGGGAAAGGCUCCAACCAGAAAUGCUGAUCAUUAAUCUGUAUAAAUCCGUAGAAGCUUUAAUUGGGAUUCCAUCUGCUUAAGGCCCUGUCCCCUGUACUUUCAUUUUCCUUCCUCCAGAGGGCGCCUUAUAACCAUCAUCAUAUCAGCAUCGUCAUCCUCCUCCUCCGGACAAGCCUUACAAUGCCCAGAAGAUAAAAGCUCUUAGGAGGUAAACAUCGGACUGACAUCUCCUUUCAAACAUUCAUUGAGGAUCUACUCUGUGAGAAGAAGCAAUACCAUGUUAUCUCAUUCUAGUUCCAGUUCUAGUUGACUUGAUUGUCAAACGACUGCUAAGAAGGUGAAAUAGAGGAGAUGACAUGAAUGAGGGACUACAUUGGAAUGAAGAAGAACCUGGAGGAGGUAAAAAAACUGAAGGCUCCGGAUGUCGGACGAUGGAAAAUAAAAACAACAAGCAAGUGAAACUCCCUGACUUAUCAACCUUACUCAAGAAAUGGGAAUUUCUGCCCUAGAGAGGUCUUGGAAACUUUCUCACCAGAAGAGCACAACUUGAUGGCAGGAAGCUCCUGAUGGAGGCCUGAAAAUGGCCCUGAAAGGGAUGCCAGGGGACCAGGGCUCCACUAUUAUCAGCGUGUGACUUUGGACAAGGAUGUUAAUGGCUCUGUGACUCAGUUACCUCUUCUGUACUUUGCUUAGGGGUCUAUUGCUUUCCAUUUUGUCUUUUUCAUUUGUUAAAUCCAAUGAUGUCACUGACAGUAAAAACUAGUAAAUAGUAAAAAAAAAAAAAAAAAAAAGUAAAACCAUGGCUUCUCUUUUGGAGAUGGCAUCCCCAUGCUGCCUAUCUUUUCUUACACUUACUCACAAAUAUUUUUGAUGUACUUAUAACUCAGGAAAUACCUUCCGAGGCAAAAAUGUGUGUGGAUCAGUAGAGGUAGCAGCAGCAGUAGCUGCCAAGUGCCCUGAUGGCCUGGAGUCAGAUGGCUACAUUGCACUCAGUUCUCCCAUCUUCCAUAGAUACUGGAUGUUAUCCUUCAAUGUUUGCCUUGAGCCAGAUGGAGAGGAAAGAGGCAGAGUUAACUUGUCUUUCUAUUUUCAUUCUCCCAAAUACAACUGAUUUUUUACUCUACUCCUGGAUACCUUUCUUAUAUCACAACUCUGAUGAUGUAACUUUUCUCAACCAAACUUUCAGGGGACCCUCUAUGAUCUCAGAAUGAAACCCCAACUGUGUUGUAUACAUUUAACAUGCAUUCUACUUUCCUUCCUUCCUUACAUUUUAGCUGCGUGGAAUUCCUUGGCUUUCAAUGUGGAAGAAAGUUUGUGGUCCUUGCCCCACCUCCCCUCCCCAAGGUUGCAAGAAGAGGGGGUUAGAAUUGUGGCUUUCUUUAAUUUGAUCCAAUGCUCCUUCCCCUGCAACUUCUGCUUCCAUACAAUUAAUAACUAUUUUCGAAUCAAUGAAAUAACAAUCAUUCUUUAAUACCUCAGUAUAAACGAUCUUAUUAAAAGUUAUGCAGCCUGGUCCAAAAAUGGCACAGGACAGAGGAUGGGGCCAGAAUCUUUGCCAGGGCACUGCCAAGAAGGGCAUGACCAGUGGAGACACUUGAGUGGAUGGAUGCUGUGUGUCCCAGAAUAUACAUGGAGUUGAGGUACAGGCAUGGCAUUGAAUAUGAGUAGAGCAGUGCAGAAAGAAAGAAAGGAGCAAACUUCAGAAGCCUCACAAGUUUUCCUAGAGUCAUCCCUGUGAGCUUCACAAUCUAGCUGUCCUUAAGGAAUGUUUCUUUUAUGUGGAGCACUGCACACCUAAGACAUUUUUAAUGUUUUGCUCUGCCAAGUGCAGCUAUAAGAAGGAAUUUCCAGGUAGAGAAACAGAAGGAUUGGAGAAAAUUCUUAGAAUCGUGCGUAUAAGGCAAUUCCGUUGCAGCAUCAUCUGCUGUGGUCCUUUGAGAAAACUAAGUGUUUAUUUCCAUGAUUUAAAAUCAAGUCAGUCUUUAUCUAGGGUUUGGGAAGGCUUACAUUGGCUCAGGACCAAAAUGAAGAUAGGACUAGAACUUUCCCAAGAAUGUACGAAUAAAUGUAUGUGUGAGUUUCAAGUUG